AACAGUGUGGCUCGCUUGUGGGUGUGCUGGCAGCAUAAAGCAGCUCUUCGAUUGUGCAUCAAGAAGUCAGCAUAGCAAGUUUGUAUGAAGGUCUGGUUAUUAAAUGGGUAAAUAGCUUUAUCCAUUCUCCAUUUCAUGAAUUUAUUCACAGGUAAAUAGUAAUAUGCUCUAAACCGCUCUGGUGACAAACUUUGCUGCCAUUAAUAAUUUAGUCAUUUAGCAGACGCUCUUAUCCAGAGCGACUUACAGUUAGUGAGUGCAUACAUUUUUCAUACUGACCCCCCGUGGGAAACGAACCCACAACCCUGGCGUUGCAAGCGCCAUGCUCUACCAACUAAGCUACGGGAGCUACCAAUCGUCCACAUGGCUGGGAGAACCUAUUCAAAUACAGAGAGCUGUGAAAGCCUGUCUGCAGAUGAAGAGGUCACAAUGAAAAGCAGUGGUUCUCAGUCCUGGUCCUGGGGACUCAAAGGGGUGCACAUUUUUUUUUUGCCUUAGCACUACACAGCUGGUUCAAAUGAUCAACUCAUCAUCAAGCUUCAAGUGAUACCUUGCAAUUGGAGAUUCCUUCAAAACGAUUGCCUAUAGUUACAAGGUUGGGUGACAAGGGCCAUUUGGGACUGCCUCCUGGGGGAAUUCAGGCGUGUGAAGGCUACCUGUGUCCUGCAUAACUUAAUGAGGAUGGACACGAGGACCAGGAGGGGAUCUGCAGCUCGCCGCCGUGUGCCAGAGGAGAGGUCUGCUGCUCUGCAGGAUGUUUCAAGGAUGGGGUCCAACAACGCAACAAGAGAGGCAAUCAAUCCGUGUGCGGGAGAUCUUCACCUCCUACUUAUUUGAAGAGGGUGUUGUUCCCUGGCAACACCAUAGACUACACUAUGCAUCUACAUUGCAAUAAGAGUAUUCUUCCAUUUAUUUAGCUAUGUCAACUGCAGUUAUUAAAUGCCCAGUUUCUCUCCCUUUGAUUUCUACUUCUCAGGUGAGGGUGCUGUUUAGGUAAGGGUGGUGUCUGUACAAAAACAAAACAGGCUAUUUUAAGUCACCCAUAUUGAAAAAAUUUAGAACAAUUACACACCCUAUAACCCACACCUACACACUCAUGUAUCAAUCUGAUUGAUGGAUUGUUGUGCAGUAAGCAGGCUCAGGUAUAUAACUGUGGCUCCUUCCACCUUCAAAGAGUAGGCAAGAGGACCAACCAUGGAGAAUAGUAAGACACUUCAUAUUUAUAUUUAUAUAACUACGCUAUAUUGUUUGUCCUCAUGUCUGUGCAUGUUUUUCAGUAUAAAGUACUCUGCAGCCACUUAGUGUGGACACCAGGUGAGACCACACACAUAUUCCUGUUGAACAUUGUCUCUUUAACUACCUUCUUUUCUCAAUAACAGUCUCUCCUUCACUUCAUUCCUCUCCCCCCUUCUCCCUAAAUCCUCUAGGUUAUAUCAGCUGUGUCGGUGAACCCCUGCCGCAUCUGAACUGGCUACAUAGAGGGCACAGCAUGAUCAGAGUCCCGUCAUCACCAUCAAACCCGCUCAAAAGAUAACAUUCGGGCCAACUGGGGGCCCAAGGCUGUUAGGAGACACCGCUAGAGACACUAUUAUGUAAUUGUGAUGAACUGAGAGAAUAUUAGGAUAGCACUGUAAUUCAUUAAUCAUAUGCUGUCUUCCCUGCUCCUCUGUUCUUACCUCUUUCCCUUUCUGUCUUUUACAGUCUUUCUUACACCUCUACCCACCUCCUCUUUCUUCCUCUGUUUUUAUAAUGCUCACCAGAUGUGCAUUGAAGUACAGAUUGAACUUGUAUUUAGAAUAUAAUAUUACAAUUAUAAUAUUUAUAAUGCAUGUAUUAUGUAUUUAUAACAC